AUCGCUUCUCGGCCUUUUGGCUUAGAUCAAGUGUAGUAUCUGUUCUUAUCAGUUGCCAGUAGGUGGUGCUAUGCUAACCGUCCUGAGUACAUGGCGAGGUGGAAAGGGAUGGCGGUUGGCGGACGCUAAGGCUGCUGGCGUGGAGGUCAGUGGCGGCUGGUGCUCCAAAUUUUUGGGGGGGCGCAAACGGAA